AUUGAACGCUGGCGGAAUGCUUUACACAUGCAAGUCGAACGGCAGCACGGACUUCGGUCUGGUGGCGAGUGGCGAACGGGUGAGUAAUGUAUCGGAACGUGCCCAGUCGUGGGGGAUAACGUAGUGAAAAUUACGCUAAUACCGCAUACGAUCUAUGGAUGAAAGCGGGGGAUCGCAAGACCUCGCGCGAUUGGAGCGGCCGAUAUCAGAUUAGGUAGUUGGUGGGGUAAAGGCCCACCAAGCCAACGAUCUGUAGCUGGUCUGAGAGGACGACCAGCCACACUGGAACUGAGACACGGUCCAGACUCCUAUGGGAGGCAGCAGUGGGGAAUUUUGGACAAUGGGCGAAAGCCUGAUCCAGCCAUUCCGCGUGCAGGAUGAAGGCCCUCGGGUUGUAAACUGCUUUUGUACAGAACGAAAAGGUUUCUACUAAUACUAGGAGCUCAUGACCGUACUGUAAGAAUAAGCACCGGCUAACUACGUGCCAGCCGCCGCAGUAA
rnacentral:rRNA from 1 species